rnacentral:lncRNA from 1 species
CCAGCUGCACCAGGCAAUUAGUAGAAUCAGCUCUGUGAUGGAGAAUCAGCAAGUGAAAGAAACAAGGUAAAGGCAAAUUUUAUGAAUUCUUUGGGAAUUCAAUUUGUUACACUCUCUACUAAAUUAUCACACACAAUACAAAUACCCAGAUGAUUCUGUUAAAUACUGCACUCACAACCUCGUGCUACCAAAAAGUAGUAUAGCUAAGAGAAACUCUCAGACAAGAAAAAAAAAAAAAGGGAGCAAUUUCCCAUCUAUGCUUUUUGUCAAAAUUCACUAGCUUUGUAUGAUGUUUCAACAUUUGAGGUAAUUCAGCAAUUUCUGUUUUAUUGAAAUUUCACAACUAGCAACAAGACUUGCGGGUUCUCUGUCUACGAGCUCAUAAAUAGUUGGUUCUUCAAAUGCAGGCAUAAUUUCUAUUAAAGUUAGACUUUACCAACGUUGCAAAUCCAUGACCAGCAAGUGCUCCCCCAAUGACUCCAAGAGGAGACGAGGCAGCAGCAAGUGCUGCAUAACAAGAAUAAAAGUAUUUAUCACUAGCAGAUUAUGGAAUGCAAGAUUUGCACAUGUAUCAUGCAUUGAAGGUCAGCAAUAGAACUUCACCGGCUUUGUUUGGUUGCUAAGAAAAUGAAUGAAAAACAAAAAGCCACUAUAAACUGUAAUCACAAUAUCUUAUUAUAUUGCAUGAGAAACCACCAACUUACCGCAUAGAGAAAAUCAUUUGGUUAGGACUUC